rnacentral:lncRNA from 1 species
GGCAUAUUGGGGCACACCUGUAAUCCCAGCAUUCAGGACGUGGAGUCAGGAGGAUCAGGAGUUCAAGGUCAGGUUUACCAUAGAGUGAGUUUAAGAUCAGCCUGGCCUACAUGAGAUCUGUCAUGGGGAUCACUUGGGCACCUUUUUCUCCAUGGUGACCGGGCCAGCUGUGGGUCGAGUGUACACGUGCCACAGGACAGGAGGGCAGGCAGCCAGUGGCCCUUGAGUGAGGCUGGUGCAUUCAUUUUAGGUCCGUUUGGGAAAAGCCCUGGGCCACAUCCAGGCAACUGCAAGGCCUCUGGGCCCUGUGUCCACCUGCUGCAUUUUGGUCCCAUCCCAAGGCUGAGGCAAAGGCACAAGGCCAGCUGUUUGCCAAGCUGCUGGUUCCAGCUUCCAAGCCAACUGCUGGUAGGUGGAAAGGAACGUGUGGCUACCGACCUCUUGGCCAGUAAUGAAAAGAAGUAAUGUCUCUUCACCACAGAGACAAAGAGAGACUGUUAGGUGUCCAAACCCAUGAGUUGUCACAGCAAGCUUCAUUGCGAUCCCCAGUAGAGACACACACACCUUGGCCUCUGGCACCUGUCAGUGUGUCCAUUCACAGAUCUCUAGCCGAUGUGCUUGUGUUGAAUCUGGAAAGAGUGAGUCCUGGAUUUAAGGAGACCCUGAAUGCAGUUCCAAGUGUCCUUGAAAGGAGGUCAUGUGGAGUCAGGACAGGAAGGCUGAAGAGAUAUGAUCCCUCCCUCCAGGCAAGGCAUGUCUGGAGAUGCAGGCAGCAGGAAGCAGCGUCUCCCAGCCAGUGCUAUGAGCACUGCCUUGCUCACAGCUGGAUUUUGAACUCUGACUCCCAGAACUAUGAGAAGAGAUUUGUCUGUGUGCCGCUACCUGGUUUCUGGGCCUUUUUGACACACACAGCCCCAGGAUGGUCAUUCAGCUCAGGCUUCAGGCCAGGCCAGGGGAUACCUGCUCUGUUGGUCACACUCCAGUGCAGAAGAACAAGCCUCUACCUCCUGGGAGUCUCCAGGCCUGACCACACACACUGGGCAGCUCUAGAUACUCCAUAUCAGGAGUUCCUCGUGUCCUUGGUAGAAAUGCGACAAUUAGAGCCCCGGCAGGUCCCUGAGUAUAAAGUUGAGGACUCCAUUGGAUUAAUAAGCAGAAGGGUGGGUGCUAGACGGGGAGGAGGGAAGAAGGAGCACUCUAGAUGGGGAGGAGGAAGGAACACUCUAGAUGGAAAGGAGCACUCUAGAUGGGGAGGACAGAAGAAGGAGCACUCUAGAUGGGGAAAAGAGAAGAAGGAGCAUUCUAGAUGGGGAGGAGGGAAGAAGGAGCACUCUAAGUUUGGAGAAGGAAGGAGCACUUUAGAUGGGGAGGACAGAAGAAGGAACACUCUAGAUGGGGAAAAGGGAAGAAGGAGCAUCUAGAUGUGGAGGAGGGAAGAAGGAGCACUCUAGUUGGAGAAAAGGGAAGAAGGAGCACUCUAGAUGGGGAGGAGGUAGGAGCACUCUAGAUGGGGAGGACAGAAGAAGGAGCACUCUAGAUGGGGAAAAGGGAAGAAGGAGCACUCUAGAUGGGGAGGAGGGAAGAAGGAGCACUCUAGAUGGGGAAAAGGGAAGAAGGAGCACUCUAGAUGGGGAGGAGGGAAGAAGGAGCACUCUAUCCAAUGAGCAGACCAAAAAACGCCAGCUUGCUGUGAAUCGCCAUGGCAAGUUUAAUGUUUUCUGGAAAGAGCAGGGUAGAGCACAGGAGGCAGCAGCCUCUGCUGUAGGCACACCCAUGGAAGUGGCUUGGAGAGUCUGACCAGCAGAAGCCCCUUCGGAGGUGGCAUAUACGUACAUUGAGCUCCAGAAGGAAAAGAGAGGGAUCCUAACCAAGGGCCACCAGGAAGCAGCAAGCAAGGCCUAGUUGGCACAAAGCAGAUAUCCAGUGGCCCAGGCCCUGGGGAUCAACACGGGGUGAGAUGGGGAAAGAACACAGGCUCUCUGCAAUCAGAGAAUCAGGCCUGAGGCCUUCCCUGAGUCUGAGCUAGGGGCGGGAUAGCCUGUGUCCUCUUCUACCACUUGGGGUUGACCCGGGAAUAGGUAGAUUUUUAUAGCUCUACCCCAGCUCUGGGUCUCAAAGGAAGUCCCUCUCACGUGUCCAUAAGCUGACUAGGGCUGUGUCAGGGCUGGGCAGGUCUAUCAGACUCAUCCGCUCUAGCAGGUUAAAGUAUCAAGUUCCCAGACAGGAUGCUGAACUGGGAAGGAAGCAGGGCACUAGGGAUGGUGAAGGGCAGUUUGGGAACCCAAAUCCGAGCCCUGGUCCUUCCAUGGUUAAUUCACCAAGAAGGAGGAAGGGGAACUGAUGUCCCAACAGGCAAGAGAGCCCUCCCACCCUGGGGUCCAGAGUGACUGGGGAAGUGGAGCAGAGCAGAGAGGUACUGGGACAUAGUAGGAGCUUUAUUUCUUACAGAGAAAGCUGCAGGAGUCCCUGAGGUUCCCAGCUGCUGUCAGGAUCCUGUGAGUUGGGGCAAGCAGGAUGCUGCCACCAGCCCAGAGCCAACCACAGGGGGCACUUGCUGUUCUCCCCCAACCCUUUUACUAGUGUGGCUCAGAAAGAUUGACCAGCCCCUGGGCAAGGCUAUAGCAUGUCAACAGAGCUCGGAGGUCAGUCCUGCUGUCCCCAGGAAAGCUCAUAUGUGAUCUAGAGUUAAGUCAGAUGUGGUUUCCAAACCCACAAACUGCAGCUACUCUGUUGCCAUUCAUGUUUUUCCUAUGCCUCAGUUUCCCCAAUACAAAUAGCUCUCGCUCUCUCUCUCUCCCCAUCCCUCCCUCCAGCUGGCUGGAAAGCCAAAACUAACACCACCUUUCUUUCUCUUUUCUGCUUGACUUCGUUCCUAAGAAACCCAUGAUAUUUGCUUACUUGUGUCCAGGAAUGGGAACACACAGGGGCUGUGCUCUGGAACACCCUGUGGCCACGGGACAACACAGCACAGGGUCGUCUAAGGCUGUGUACACAGAAGGAGCUGGAGGCCCCCCAAUAUCCUCACAGGCUCCCCGCCCAAUGAUUUCAUCUGCCGGCAGCUCUCUGCUUAGAGUAGCAGCCAGAUCUGGGAUCGCACCGUCCUUUGGGAUUCCCAGUGGCCAAGGGCAUCUUGUCAAAAGCCAAAACUUUGGAAGCCAAGGCCAAGGAAGCCAGGAUGGAGCAGAGAGAAAAUGGGGUCAGCCCGGGGCAGGACUCCAGUGUCUGUAGAAUGCAGGGAUAGGUCAGGGUGCCAGGCAAGGAGGUCAGCAGUCCACAAAAGCUCCACAGGAGUGUCCACUAGGGCUCAGAGGCUGGCUUGACCAGGUAGCCACUGAAGGUGAUGUAGGUGUCGAACUCGUCACUGAAAAUGGCGUUCUCACGCUCGCCCUUGAAGAGACGCACCCAGACCUCAUCCUCCUCCCGCAGCUCCAUCAUCAGGCUCUGACUCUGCAUGAUGCUGCGGUCGCUCACCUGCGCAUACAGGAUCACCACCUCCUCCUCGUUCUUCAUGAUGUGCAGGUACGUCUCCUUCUGGUUCCAAGUGUGCACGUUGAGGCUGAAGAAGUAGAUGCCCGGCACAUAGCAGUAGAACUUCCCAGUGAACAUAUUGAAGUGUUUGUAGAGGUUCACAAACUCCGUGUCGAAGACCACGGGCUGGAAGUAGUCGUUGCUGUGCAAAGCCUUCUUCCGGCCCACGGAGAAGGCUGCGUACUGGCUCUUGCAGUGGUUCCCAGGGGCUCCAAUGGAUCCCUUCUGCCCUUUGGGGCCAACAUGGCCCCUGGGACCUGUAGAACCUAUUUUGCCGUACUUCCCCUGGAGGCCUCGAUCCCCUCGGUCACCUUUCU